AUCCAGUAAGGUUAUGACAUCAAAAUCAUGCCUUAAAUAAAAUAUCCUUAAAGAAGGCAACUAGAAACAGAGCCAAAGACACCACACCAAUCUAGAGUUAUAAAAAACUAUUUUCCACUUUCGAACCACCAGAAAGAGAUUCCAGAAAAAUGAUCUCUUAUGCCAUAACUUCCAUAUGGCAAGAUAUCCCUUGUUCCACAUAGCAAUUUGUUCUACUCAAAGAUCAAGCCCUCAAUGCAACAGCAUUGAGUUCAUGGAUGUUAGACUGAAAUUAAAGAAUACAUCAACAAAACUGAAAACUCCAUAAUCUUCAUUAUUACCUGAUUUUCAACUGUAAUAGGAGGCUCUGUCAAGGAAGCAUCAGAAAAAGGAAGCUCACCAGAACGCAUUUUAUGUUUUUCAUAUUCAAGUAAUGCCUUCUCAUAGAAAAUUCGGAAUGUCCAAGAGACAGUAGUGCAGGUCCUGUUCAAUCAAAAACAUAAUGAAGAAUUAGACUAAGCCAAAAUGACUAAGAAAUGCUAUGCAAAAGAGCAAUAACUUUGACCAUCAUAAUCAAACCAAAGCAUAGAUAUUCAGGGAUUAUAUGAUUCUAGUAAUCUAGUAAAGAAACUUAUAGGGUCAUAGUAAUAGGAACACUUCUUUCCAGCAUCCAAAUCCAACAAACUCAAACACUAUCAAUGAAAGGAGUAAUUAUCCAAUCAGUUUUCAUCUCUUUCAAAACAAUGGCAAUGACACAAUUAUCCAGCAGAGAAUCAUAGUAAUUUACUAUUUAAGCAUGCAUUAGUUAAAUGAUUGCUCCCUACCACCUAAUCCAAGAAACUAUGAAAUAAUAUAGAAGUCAGAUAUCAACUAAAGUCAAAGCUAUCCUC
rnacentral:misc_RNA from 1 species